rnacentral:rRNA from 1 species
UACGUAGGGCGCAAGCGUGUCCGGAAUUAUUGGGCGUAAAGAGCUCGUAGGCGGCUUGUCACGUCGGAUGUGAAAGCCCGGGGCUUAACCCCGGGCCUGCAUUCGAUACGGGCAGACUAGAGUUCGGUAGGGGAGUCUGGAAUUCCUGGUGUAGCGGUGAAAUGCGCAGAUAUCAGGAGGAACACCUGCGGCGAAGGCGGGUUGCUGGGCUGAUACUGACGCUGAGGCGCGAAAGCUAGGGGAGCAAACGGG